rnacentral:rRNA from 1 species
UACGGGGGGGGCAAGCGUUGUUCGGAAUUACUGGGCGUAAAGGGCGCGUAGGCGGCCUGCUAAGUCACACGUGAAAUCCCUCGGCUCAACCGGGGAACUGCGUGUGAUACUGGCGGGCUCGAAUUCGGGAGAGGGAUGUGGAAUUCCUGGUGUAGCGGUGAAAUGCGCAGAUAUCAGGAGGAACACCAGCGGCGAAGGCGGCGCUCUGGGCCGGAACUGACGCUGAGGAGCGAAAGCGUGGGUAGCAAACAGG